GUACACGCUGUGACUAGCAUAUCAAUAAGCGGAGGAAAAGAAACUAACAAGGAUUCCCCUAGUAACGGCGAGUGAAGCGGGAAGAGCUCAAAUUUGAAAUCUUAAAGGGUUUCCCUUUACGAAUUGUAGUUUAAAGAAGUGUUUUCUGUUGAGGUUUUGGUAAAAGUUCUUUGGAAUAGGACAUCAUAGAGGGUGAGAAUCCCGUAUUUGACCUUUACUUUCAACUUUGUGAUACACUUUCAAAGAGUCGGAUUGUUUGGGAAUGCAGUCCAAAAUGGGUGGUAAAUUUCAUCUAAAGCUAAAUAUUGGCGAGAGACCGAUAGCGAACAAGUACCGUGAGGGAAAGAUGAAAAGAACUUUGAAAAGAGAGUUAAACAGUACGUGAAAUUGUCAAAAGGGAAGCGUUUGACACCAGUGUUGUUUUCUGAAAAUCAAUUAAAGAACUGUUUAUGCUAAGUUGUUUAGACUUUAUCAGCUAACUGUUUAGUUUUGAGCUUUUCUUUAAUGCACUUUUCAGUUAACAAGUCAACAUCAAUUUCUUUUGCUGUAAAAAAGCUUGAGGAAGGUGGCUUGAGAUUCGUCUUAAGUGUUUAUAGCCUCUUGCCUAUGCAGUCGGAGAGAUUGAGGUCUGCAGCGUAGAUCCUUCGGGGCUAAAUGCAUUUGUGCUAAGUUAUAGCAUUUCAUAGACAACUUGUUGACUAUGAUUUGUCUUGUAGCUUACUCGCUUAUGUUAUUUUACCUACGCUUAGGAUGUUGACGCGCGUGUGUGCGUG
rnacentral:rRNA from 1 species